UCGAAUUAAUCUGGCUAAUCAUCCGUUAUUAGCCAAGAUGUUAUUAGAGAGGGAUUUACAGUUUAAUUCUCAGAUGCUGUUAGACGUAAUAAUGAGGUUUCAUCAAAAUGAACAUUAUGACCAGUUAAAUAGUUUUAAUGAAAACGAGAACGUAAAAACCGUUUAGAUAUAGAUACAUUCAAACUAAGAUUAGAGAAGAGUCAAGAUAUUAAAAUAGAUGAACUAUUGAAAAUGCUAAAUCGGGAUUUAGAUAGGUCAGACUUUGUCAAAAUUGCUCACAUUGGAAUUCAAAUCGCAAACGAAGACGGUUCGGAUGAAAUGGAACCUUCAAGGAAGAAGAAAAAGAAGCGAUGUGAAAAACCAAAUGUACCUUCGAGUUACAAACUGGUUGUGGAAUCGAGCCUUGUGGGGUGUAAGGAAUGCUAUAGAAACCAGACAUCGGAGAGCUUGGAUUUUGGAUAUUUUGAUAUUGUUGAAGAUUUCCACUUCCUUGCAGUACUGGGGAGCUAAAAUUUGGUGUGGAAUUUGGUGUGAAAGAGUUCUUUGCAUUAUUAUUGUUCAUAAUCAAGUCUUUCUCAGUACAA